rnacentral:lncRNA from 1 species
GGGAUUUGGGACAAUAGGCGGAGUGGAUUAUUCGUUCCCGUAGGCAAUACUUCCCUGGAUGGGCUUCGGGAUGCAGUUGGAGGCUCGGGAACAAAGCGGGCAUCUCAUGUCAAGGCUCCUUCCAAGGAAGAAAUAAUUCUGCUGGGACCCUGUGCCUGGACUUUGGAAGACAUGAUGCAGUGGUUUCAUCUGAAAGCACCAUCCCUGUGGGUCGAAACUCUCCUCUGUACCGUGUGCUUGGCAAGAAGGGCAACGAGGGGACACUUGGAGUGACCAGGAGUUUGGCAUCAAGGAGCAGCAAGCCAGAGGGAAGUUUGGUGUCAAACCAGACACUUUGUGGCACUCCGUACUGGUGUCCAAUAGGUUCUGAACCACCCCCACGCUAAAAUAAAGAUCACCAUUCUGCUAUGCCAGUGAGCUUGUCUUGCUAAACCUCCCCUGUUUGCGUUGAAGAUGAAGAAACGCAAGCUAUCAGAAACAAGCCUAUGUUUGAAGGUACAGUUUUCAACAUGAAACUCAAAACGGAAGGGGGGAUGCUACUUGAAAGUGUGACUCAAAAAAAAGGUUUCGCUUUACAGCCAUCAGUAGCACCAGGAGACAGCUCCAUUAAAAAAAAAAGUAGUUUUCCACUGCUCUUGAAAAGCCGUUAUUUUUUACAUCGCGCCCGCCGCCACCACCGGUCCGGCCGCCCCCCCACCCCGGGUCGCCCCGCCGGGGAGAGAGCCGCGACCGGGCACCACCGCCGGCCGCCCCGUCGGCGCUUUCCCGGAGCGACCUAUCCACGCGUGGGGAAAGGCGAGACCCCCGUUUACCCGCGCCGGGCACGGCCCCAGUGGGAGGAAGGAGGAGGGGGGGGGGAACGGACGACAGGUCCCGAUGCUUCCCCGACGGCGCGACCCCGACGGCGCGGCCCCGUGGGCGCCCCCCGCGUCCCCGGCUGCUCCUUUGCCGUCGGGGAGGAUGGGACGGGACGGGCGACGAGCCUUCCCCCCGCUCGGCCUUCACCCCUUUCGCUUUUUUUGUCUCGCCAAAGCCUCUCAGCCAAAAAAAAAAAAAAAAAAAAAAAGCAAAAAAAAAAAAAGCUCCCUACUGCUGUGUCAUUGACACCGCGGGGUCGCUCGCUGCCUCCCUCUCCCCUUCUCUCCCGCCGCCCAUUGAAGGCUGCCCCCGCUCCUUUAUUCCAAACUGCAACUGAAAAUACCGCUGGGGAAACCACCUCCCCGCAGCUCGCUCCCUCCAGCCGCCUCGCCACAGGCCACCGAGCAUCCUCGCGCCAACCCAAAUUUUAGCCAAACCGGUCCCUGUCCCUCCAGCCCUCGCUCCACGCCUGUCUCCGAGGCCGCGACUUGUUGCGUCCCUUUUAGAGUUUGAUUAAUUACCCUGGAACUUAAGCAAACUAAAGUCCAUGUGGAGAAGAAGCUCCCGCCUACAGUUUGGUCCAGCAGCCCGCCACUGACACGGGCAAUCUUUACACUCUCGUGCAAAUGGCAACAAGCAUCCCUGCGCCUUCAAAAAAAGGUAUCCCUCUAAAAAUAUAUAGAAGUAUCGCUCUGGCUGUAGCUUGAAGGUGUCGAUCAUUUAUUACAAAAAUAAACGAAUAAAUACAACAAUAUAUUGUUGCUUU